rnacentral:misc_RNA from 1 species
AACGCACAUUGCGCCCUCUGGUAUUCCGGGGGGCAUGCCUGUUCGAGCGUCAUUACAACCCUCAAGCUUUGCUUGGUAUUGGGUGCUACCGUUUUUGGUGCACCUUAAAAUCAGUGGCGGUGCCACCUGGCUUCUAGCGUAGUAAUACUCCUCGCUAUGGAGAUGGGUGUGUACUUGCCAUAACCCCUAAUUUUUUAAGGUUGACCUCGGAUCAGGUAGGGAUACCCGCUGAACUUAA